CAAUUCCACCCAGAACCGUCGCGACGCCAUUUUUCCCCUUUUUCUGUCACCGGCGAGCACAAAUUCACCGUGCUCCAUGGCCAGACCACUCUAGUAUGGCUCUGCACGUCUCGUAUGUUGUUUUAGCAGCUCUGUGUACCCAUGAAGCUCAUUGUGGCAGCCAUUUGACCAAUUCGGGCGUGAUUGAGUGGGAACGCGGGCUCGGCGUCACGGGUUCCGCCGCGCGCGUGGGUAGAGCACUCUCUAUGUAUGCAAGCCAAAAUUGAAGUUUGUUCUUGAGUCGCUUUGGGUCGGUAAUGCUCACCCCGUAGCUAAUUUGGACAGCCGCUGCCGGUCAUGACCAGUACGAGACGCAUAGUGCUCGACGACGAGCGCGCCGUGGCCAUGGGUCUGAUUGGAGAAGAAACAAAAGCCGAGGGACCUAUGCGUGAUUGUCAGUGAGACGAUGAAUAGUGGCUAGGGGUUCUUAACGGAUUAUCCAAGCAAUUGGGGACCUCUGUGCAAAUCCGCCAGCGUAGGCGCGCGCGGGGCACGUUCCCGUUUCCUGUUCAAGUUGGGCUGACUUGGGCCAGUUUCGGUCCAACACUGUUCCUGUCUUUUUCUUUUUCCUUUUCUGCCAGAGCUAAAGAAAUUCUAGAAAAUUGUAGAAAAAUGC
rnacentral:lncRNA from 1 species